AACAGGAUUAGAUACCCUGGUAGUCCACGCCGUAAACGAUGAGUGCUAGGUGUUGGGGGGCUACGCCCCUCAGUGCCGAAGGUAACCCAUUAAGCACUCCGCCUGGGGAGUACGGCCGCAAGGCUGAAACUCAAAGGAAUUGACGGGGGCCCGCACGAGCGGUGGAGCAUGUGGUUUAAUUCGAAGCAACGCGAAGAACCUUACCAGGGCUUGACAUCCCGCUGACCCCUCCAGAGAUGGAGGUUUCCUUCGGGACAGCGGUGACAGGUGGUGCAUGGUUGUCGUCAGCUCGUGUCGUGAGAUGUUGGGUUCAGUCCCGCAACGAGCGCAACCCUUGUCGUUAGUUGCCAGCAUUUCGGAUGGGCACUCUAACGAGACAGCCGGUGAAAGCCGGAGGAAGGUGGGGAUGACGUCAAAUCAUCAUGCCCCUUAUGUCCUGGGCUACACACGUGCUACAAUGGCUGGUACAAAGGGCAGCGAACCCGCGAGGGGGAGCCAAUCCCAAAAAGCCAGUCUCAGUUCGGAUCGCAGGCUGCAACUCGCCUGCGUGAAGCCGGAAUCGCUAGUAAUCGCGGAUCAGCAUGCCGCGGUGAAUAUGUUCCCGGGCCUUGUACACACCGCCCGUCACACCACGAGAGUUUGCAACACCCGAAGUCGGUGAGGCAACCUUUUAGGAGCCAGCCGCCGAAGGUGGGGCAGAUGAUUGGGGUGAAGUCGUAACAAGGUAACC
rnacentral:rRNA from 1 species